AUUGAACGCUGGCGGCGUGCUUAACACAUGCAAGUCGUGCGGUAACAGGCGUAGCAAUACGUGCUGACGAGCGGCGAACGGGUGCGUAAUACAUGGGAAUCUGCCCUUUAGUGGGGAAUAACCCGGCGAAAGCCGGGCUAAUGCCGCAUAAGAUCUUCGGAUGGAAGCGGGGAGUCGUAAGACUCGCGCUGAUGGAGUGAGCCCACUG
rnacentral:rRNA from 1 species